rnacentral:rRNA from 1 species
UACGUAGGGUGCGAGCGUUGCCCGGAUUUAUUGGGCGAAAAGGCUUGUAGGUGGCCAUGCGAAGUCGGAUGUGAAAUCUCCCGGCUCAACUGGGAGGGGUCAUUCGAUACUGGCAGGCUCGAGGCCGGUAGGGGGUAGCGGAAUUCCCGGUGUAGUGGUGGAAUGCGUAGAUAUCGGGGAGGAACACCAGUGGCGAAGGCG